rnacentral:tRNA from 4 species
CGGGAAAUAGCGCAGUUGGUAGCGCACACGCUUUGGGAGCGUGGGGUCGUAGGUUCAAGUCCUGCUUUCCCGA